AGAGUUUGAUCCUGGCUCAGGAUGAACGCUAGCGACAGGCUUAACACAUGCAAGUCGAGGGGCAUCGGGGCUGAAAGCUUGCUUUCAGCUGCCGGCGACCGGCGCACGGGUGAGUAACACGUAUGCAACCUGCCUGUGACAGAUGGAUAACCGGGAGAAAUUCCGCCUAAUACAGCAUAAAGCUUUUUGGAGACAUCUUCUUGAAGCCAAAGGAGGCAACUCCGGUCACAGAUGGGCAUGCGGCGCAUUAGGUAGUUGGUGAGGUAACGGCUCACCAAGCCGACGAUGCGUAGGGGUUCUGAGAGGAAGGUCCCCCACAUUGGAACUGAGACACGGUCCAAACUCCUACGGGAGGCAGCAGUGAGGAAUAUUGGUCAAUGGCCGAAAGGCUGAACCAGCCAAGUCGCGUGAGGGAAUAAGGCCCUACGGGUCGUAAACCUCUUUUGCCGGGGAGCAAGAUUCUCUACGUGUAGAGAAUCGGAGAGUACCCGGAGAAAAAGCAUCGGCUAACUCCGUGCCAGCAGCCGCGGUAAUACGGAGGAUGCGAGCGUUAUCCGGAUUUAUUGGGUUUAAAGGGUGCGUAGGCGGAUUCUCAAGUCAGCGGUCAAAACCCGGGGCUCAACCCCGGCCUGCUGUUGAAACUGGGAAUCUUGAGUGAGCGAGAAGUAAGCGGAAUGCGUGGUGUAGCGGUGAAAUGCAUAGAUAUCACGCAGAACCCCGAUUGCGAAGGCAGCUUACCGGCGCUCAACUGACGCUGAAGCUCGAAAGUGCGGGUAUCGAACAGGAUUAGAUACCCUGGUAGUCCGCACGGUAAACGAUGGAUGCCCGCUGUUGGUCUGAAUAGGUCAGCGGCCAAGCGAAAGCAUUAAGCAUCCCACCUGGGGAGUACGCCGGCAACGGUGAAACUCAAAGGAAUUGACGGGGGCCCGCACAAGCGGAGGAACAUGUGGUUUAAUUCGAUGAUACGCGAGGAACCUUACCCGGGCUUGAAUUGCAGAGGAAGGAUUUGGAGACAAUGACGCCCUUCGGGGUCUCUGUGAAGGUGCUGCAUGGUUGUCGUCAGCUCGUGCCGUGAGGUGUCGGCUUAAGUGCCAUAACGAGCGCAACCCCUCUCCUUAGUUGCCAUCAGGUCAAGCUGGGCACUCUGGGGACACUGCCACCGUAAGGUGUGAGGAAGGUGGGGAUGACGUCAAAUCAGCACGGCCCUUACGUCCGGGGCUACACACGUGUUACAAUGGCAGGUACAGAGAGAUGGUGUUCUGCAAAGCGCAUCAAAUCCUUAAAGCCUGUCUCAGUUCGGACUGGGGUCUGCAACCCGACCCCACGAAGCUGGAUUCGCUAGUAAUCGCGCAUCAGCCAUGGCGCGGUGAAUACGUUCCCGGGCCUUGCACACACCGCCCGUCAAG
rnacentral:rRNA from 1 species